CUUCCAUAUCAUUUAGUUUACAAAAUUUUAUCUACAAAUUUAGUUUCCUAGCAUUACCUUUUUGUCUACAAAAUUAAUCUUUAUACAAAUUUUGUCUACAAAAGGAGAAAAUGAGAAGGAAAAUUUGAAUGAGAAUCUUCUUUCUUCCUUACAAGAACAAGGGGCAAAGCAAAUCACAUCCUUUGUGGUGGCCUGCGUAUGCUGCUUAAUCCCUCUACGAAAAAAUGAGAAGGAAAAUUUGAACGAGAAUCUUUUUUCUUCCUUACGAAAAUUUUGUCUACAAAUUUAAUCUCUACAAAUUCUAUUCAUGGUUGAGGUGUCUUUUCAGGGAGUUCGUAUGCUGAAAUCUUGCGUUGGAGCUUUUGGGUUCCUAAGAAAGCUAAGGAAGAGAUCUCUAACAUCACUCAGGAUCUCUCUAAGAGCAACUUUUUAUGGGAUCGGUUGCUGUGACUGUUUCUAAGAUGCUGUGAAUAUUUGGUUUCUGGAAUAUGAUUAAUUUUCUUCUUCUUCUUCCAUGCUUGCUUUCUAUGAUGGACAAUGUCCCCUUUUUUUCUUAGUUACACUCCUGUGCUCUCGCAGAGGGAAGCUCAUGGCUCACACUAUCGCUUGGGCCAAUCUCGGCCUCACUCACCCGUCUGACAUCGACGCCCCAAAGAAAUUUGGAUCAUUGGAGCAAGAAGUUGGUUCCUUGCCAUUUUGAGAAUUUUGGGUCAUUGGAGGCAGAAAUUGGUUGCUUGCUUGACACGAUGAGAUUGGAAUGGGUACAAUCUGAGCACUCCUAAAACUGAAAAGUUCUCCAAAGAUUGCGAGAAUGGUUGUGUCAGAUAUGGUUUAUUGUCCAUGCAAGGAUGGCGUACCACAACGGAGGAUGCUAUGAGUGCAUUAAACUUUUCUCUUCCUAUUUGAAGUUGUUUUCAGAACAUAAAUUCUUUUAUGUCCAUUCUCAGAAGUUUCUACUGUUGUAUCAUUUUCCGUCUUUAUUUUGCAUGCUAUAGUUAGGAUUCAACUGAAUAUGAUUUUACUUGACAUGUUCAAAUCCUCAUAAUCAUGUUCUUGAAUUUUACUAUAUGUAUCGUGUUCUUUGCAUUUCAUUA